rnacentral:rRNA from 11 species
GGGUAUAAAUAAAUACCCUAAAGGUACCAGAUCCUGUCUGAUCUUGUUAGCUAAGCAGGGGCAGCUCUGGUGCGUACUUGGGUGGGAGACCACCAAUAAAUUCCAGGUGCUGUAGGUA